UUGGACUGAUAUCAAGCUAA
rnacentral:rRNA from 2 species